GCGAGUGUAGUACAACGGCUAGUAUGCCAGCCUUCCAAGCUGGAAAUGCGGGUUCGAUUCCCGCCACUCGCACCA
rnacentral:tRNA from 1 species